CAUAAAAGUAUUGUCGAAAUAGUGCUGGGACAGUGUGCUGGGCUUAGCAGGCAAGCAGCGGCCACCAUGCAGGUGCAAACCAAGCACUACCCCAAGAACUGCCUGCUGACUGUCAUGGACUGCUACUCAGCCAUGGUGCGCAACAUGGAGCAGGUGGUGAUGAUCCCCAGCCUCCUGCGGGACAUGCAGCUGAAUGGGCAGGGGCAGCAGGCUCAGGAUGGCCCCCCCGAUCUCUAUAACUGCUUCACCAUGCUCAAGGCCAUCUGCGUGGAUGUGGACCAUGGGCUACUGCCCCGAGAGGACUGGUGGUCCAAGGUGGCAGGUGCCAGAGCCCACGGGGCCGAGCAUGAAGCUGCAGAGACAGAGGACAAGGAGGAAAGGGUGUUGGGGCAGCUGGACCUGGAAGCUCAGUUCCACCUGCACUUUUCCAGCCUUCAUCACAUCCUCACCCACCUUACCCUGAAAGCUGAGGAGGUGACAAGGAAAUACCAGGAGAUAAUGGGACAGGCUAUGUAGGCUUUGGACUCUAGGGAAGAUGAAAAAACUGGGGGCCUGAGAAGUGAAAGGAGUCCAAGGUUACUCAUGGAACGGCAGAGCCAACAUGUGAAUGAGCCCUGGGCUAACUCGAAUCCAGUCCUCUUUCUCUGUGCUAGUGGACUGCCUUCGCGCCUUAGGAUUCUGCAGCCUGGCUGCAGAUCCCUUUAAGUGACAGAAGGCAGACUGUGUGGUGAGGACAUGAACAGCUCACUAGCUCUGAGGCAAACUGGAAUGGCCUGGAACUGCAGCUGGAAGCAGAGGCGACUUGGUUCUCUGGGAUGCUUCCCUGCCUCCCUCGGAGCGCCAGUUUGUGGACUUGGCACCAGGUCACCUUUAGGAUGCUUGUUGCUAUUCACGACUCCCCUCAUGCCUCUCUCCAACUGGGGUGGUGGCCAGGGAGGAGCUAGAUAUUAUGUGCCGCUGUGGUAUGGCAGAAUGCGGGUUUUCUGCAUCUGACGAAAUGAAACUCACAUCCUUUCUCCCUGCAGUCAUUCAGCACGUGAUCCUGGACGUUAUUUAACACAUUGGAGCCUAAAAUUCCUCAUCUCUAAAAUGGAAUAGUAUUACUGACCUCACGAUUGUUACGGAAAUUAAACAAUUCUUUCUCCCACCCUCACCUUGUACUUGGUCGAGCCCUUACUUUUUACCCUCCAGAACUCAGGGACAGCAAAGUCCCUUGGGAUGAAUGGUUCACACUCUUGUACCUGCCAAGCAUGAAUGAACAACAGUUCGUUUAUAUUUGUUGGAGUAGCAAUAAAAAAAAAAUAAAA